UUUUUUUUAAAGGUCCUAUGUUGUUAUGUAUGCCUGGUGAUGUUAAGCUAGUUUUUAGAUCUUAGACAAGGUAUGGGAGUAGGUAUUAUGUCUUCAUUUAGGAAAGAGAUGAUGAGUGACCCAAUUUUAGGUGGCUAAUAUUUUUUGUGCAUUUAUGACACGUGCCAUGGCAUGGUGUUGAAUACUUUAAUUAUUUCAUUUGACUGUGACAAUGAAUCCCCCAAGAUGGGGAAUAUCCCCUUCACUUGACAGAUGUGACAUCUGAGGCUUAGCGAUCAAACAAAUGACUUGCCAGGCUGUCACAAUGAGUGGUGGGGUGUGGCUUGACCCCCGGUCUGUUGACCCCAGAUUCAGGACCUUUGCCAUUAUAUACACGGAAACAAGACAAGAGCUGAAAUGACAGCCUGCCUCUUGGAACAGUAAAGUCAGUUGUGUGUGUUUAUGGAUAUCCCAACUAACAAGCCCUCGACAAGUGCCAUCACCUAUUUUGUUACCUUCAACCACAACUACGUCUUGAUUAUGAGAGGCUCCCUGUGACAUUUGAAGUUCUUGCUUGCGUGGCAGAUGCUCAACACAUUGAAAUCACUUCUUUGCUCCUGUUUACCUACCUCACAGUUGAAGUUCUGGAAAAUUUGGAGAGAAUGCCUUCCUGGGAAACCUUACCCACUUCCCAAACAGCUCCGUGUGUCCUCAGCAGACCCCAUCUUGAAGCAAAUCGGUCCACUGGCGGUCGCUUCUCUGCUUGCAUUUGACCUUCAUGGUUAUUCUCACGACUGGCUGUGUCCUCCGCUGUGAUCAGUUGACUUUAUAGCACAAUCAAUUAAUUAAUUUUUCAAGAAGUAUUUAAGGAGCACCAGCUAAGUUUAUGACGGAUUUCACAGGGAAUCAGAAGGAAAUGCGACAGACCAAACCAGACAAAAAUCCGUUGCAUUUUCUGAAACGUAACCAUCGAAGACUGUUAGCGGUGCCGAGUAAGUUUUAUGGAGAUUCUGUUCUCACAAGACUAUUAUUUUAACUUUGGGAGUCCUCCCUUCAGGUGGCCGGGCUACCUUGCAGUGAGGGCGAGACCCCUUGACUGAAUCGUUGGUUCGAGAAGCCGUCUGCUCAAGCUUCCAGAGAAGAACGCAUAAGCGGAGGAAUAAACACACGAUAAUUAAAUGUUUUUCUCACUACCAC